rnacentral:rRNA from 1 species
UACGUAGGGUGCAAGCGUUGUCCGGAAUUAUUGGGCGUAAAGAGCUCGUAGGUGGCCUGUCGCGUCGGCUGUGAAAACUCGGGGCUCAACCGUCCGAGCCUUUGCAGUCGAUACGGGGCAGGCUAGAGUUCGGCAGGGGGAGACUGGAAUUCCGUGGUGUAGCGGUGAAAUGCGCAGAUAUCAGGAGGAACACCGGUGGCGAAGGCGGGUCUCUGGGCCGAUACUGACACUGAGGAGCGAAAGCGUGGGGAGCGAACAGG